GUUAGUAUACCUUAUUUAAAGCGUGGCACUGAAAA
rnacentral:tRNA from 1 species